AAACUCCCUAGCCGGCCACCUCCACUCCUCUUGCUCUCAUUUUUCUUCUCUCCACUCACUCCUCCACCUUAUCUACUCCCUCACACUCUUCUCCUACUCUCCCCCACGAAAAUGCAGCUCCACCUAGCUCCCAUGGCCGGCCAUGGCCAUGGAAAGAACUCCAAGAUGAAGCUCCCUCCUCCCUCAAGCUCCUCCUCACCAUGAGAGCCUCCCUCUCCUUCUUCUCCCCAACCCUAGAUGGUUUUCUCUCCUCUUCCUCUUCCUCCAUUGCUAAGAUUGGAUCUUGAUGCAGGUGCAUGUUGGUCCAAGCAUGGAGAAGCUUGAGCUAUCCUCAGAUCUGAAGUUCUUGAGCAAAAUCCAAAUCGAGUGAUUCAAAGUUCCGCAGAUAGAUACGGAAAAGAUCUACAACUUGGCGUUGGUCUCAUCCUCAAAUUCGUUACGGAUUGUCCGUGGUGAAAGCCCUCUUCAAUACCUCCAUUUUGGCGGUGGUUUCACUUCGAUUGACCUCCUGAAACUGAAAUGGUUCACAGGUCAAGAUCUGGUCAGAUCUGACUUUGUCGAAUUAAAC